rnacentral:rRNA from 1 species
GUGCGAGACCGAUAGCGAACAAGUACCGUGAGGGAAAGAUGAAAAGAACUUUGAAAAGAGAGUUAAAGAGUACCUGAAACUGUUGAAAGGGAAUCGUAUCGUUUCCAGUGUCUUAUCCUUUGCAUAUUUCAUUGGCGGAUGCAGGUGUGUGGUUUGCUUGUACUAGCAGUUCAUUCUGCAGUCUGCGUUCUACGCUGCUUGUAUUUGCUGGUGCCCUGUGCGUUGGUGUGACGUCAGAGUCAGUUUGUACGUUGCGGGAGAUGGUUGUCGAGGAGGUAUUUCAGACACAUUUGUGUUUGGAUGUUAUAUCUCGGCAUACUAGUAGUCGUGGCGGAGACUGAGGUGCCUAC